GGCUAUUGGGAGUUGGGUUUUGUCUGGAGGAAGCAGCUUCUAGGAAUUGCCUUUGUACGGUUUGUUUCUCCUCAGCUUAUCUCCCACUUGCUCUUCUUGCUAGUUACCAGGAAGUGAAUAGCUUCCGUCCCUCUGCCCUUCCUUCACCCGACACCCUGACAGAACGUUUCAGCAUUACCUUAAGCCUAUAGCAAUGAACUCAGCUUAAAGUGUUUGAAAGCUGUGAAACUAUGAGCCAAAAUGACCCUUUCCACCUCCAGUGUAUUCUCUUGGGUGUUAGUCACAGCGGAGGAAAAGUGAAUAAUACCUACACAAACUUCAUUGCACUAAAAUGACAGGGCGUGACCUUUGCCUUAGAAAAACAACUACUAAAAUUGCUGUCAAAAAUUGUACCCAGAUAACGAGUACCGUAUGGAGCCACAGGUACUGUUUCCUUAGUAAAUAUCAAAUACUGUAGUUCGUGUUGGAGCUAGUACCUCAGAUUUCAUCUGGUACAGACAAGCUGUGUGACCUUGGGCAGAUGCAGUUCCUGUGAACUUACUUCUGAAUGGAAUACUGUGAUGUCACAGGAGAUCUUCUUUCUUUUCAGAUCAGAAGACUCCAACUCUGUAAGCCAGAAGGAAGAAAGAAGCUAAAAAUUCAUAGCCCAUGUGUCCAGGAGGAAGCCAUCUUGGCAGGAAUGACAUCACCAAUGGUAAUGAGGAAAGCUACUCUUU